rnacentral:rRNA from 1 species
AUUGAACGCUGGCGGCAGGCCCAACACAUGCAAGUCGAGCGAGCGGCGGACGGGUGAGUAAUGUAUGGGGACUGCCCGAUAGAGGGGGAUAACUACUGGAAACGGUAGCUAAAACCGCAUACUAUCGGAUAACCCAUAUGGGAUUAGCUGGUAGGUGAGGUAAUGGCUCACCUAGGCGACGAUCCCGAGCUGGUCUGAGAGGAUGAUCAGCCACACGGGGACUGAGACACGGCCCAGACGCCUACGGAGGCAGCAGUGGGGAAUAUUGCACAAUGGGCGCAAGCCUGAUGCAGCCAUGCCGCGUGUAUGAAGAAGGCCUUAGGGUUGUAAAGUACUGUCAGUCGGGAGGCGUUACCGAAAGAAGAAGCACCGGCUAACUACGUGCCAGCAGCCGCGGUAAUAC